GGAAAAAUCGGUCAUGAUUCAAUAAUACAAGGUUGCAUAACCUGGCAAAUAUUGUGUUCGUAUAAAAAGUUCAACAGGCAACACUGCCGAUAUUUUCAACGAUUGUUUUGUGGAAAUUCAUUUUCUUAUUGCGCAAAUUCAAAGUCUCCGAGUUAUUCACAAUUCGUAUUAACUAGAGAAGAACUAGAGUUUUACAAGACGUAAAGUUUUUCAUAUUUACAAGUCCGGAUCAUCUGUGUGUCCGCCUACAUUCGCUGGUGCAGGGAUUCUCCCUAUUACAGCCUUUCCAUAUUUACAAGUCCGGAUCAUUUGUAUGCCCGUCUACAUUCGCUGGUGCAGCGAUUUUUAUGUACUUCCAGGAUUCUAAUCCGAUCGCAGGUACAACUUUUUCCUUACCGCAAGCUCAACAUAAUCGUAGCGCAGCCCACUUUUUGCGCAAGGCCUUUACAAUAUCGCACACCGUGUUCAAAAGAGUCACAACUCAAAUAAUAUGUUUGUAAGAAAAUGCGAAAAACUAUUUUUUAGCACAUGGUAAUCACAUGGACAAGGGCGACUUUACCUUAGGUUUUUUUUUAACAAAUUAUAAAAAAAAAAUUUCUGCAGCUUUUGCUGAAAGUUAAAUAG